rnacentral:tRNA from 1 species
GUCAUAGUAGUGCAGUGGUUUGAAUGUUCGACUACAACUUUGGAGACCAGGGUUUGACUCUCAGCUCAGACA